AUGGCCUUCGGGCAAGAGGCCAUAGAACAACUAUCUCAGGAGCUCGUCGGAGGGUAUAAUCUCAACGCGAGGCUCCUGGCAUUGCUGCGCCGCAGCCCUCUCGACGGACGUGGACAGGAGAGGGCCGCAGCGAUGAGCCAGGAACUCUCCCGGGUGUUCAUGGUGUCUCUGUUCAUGCUCAGUUCUCGAGAGAGCAGCAGACCGGUGGUAGACAGGAUGGCAUCGCCAGCGGCAACGAUCACUGAGGGUAGCAUCGAUGAGCGGGCUCCGGCGAAGGACAUGCGUAUCUGUGGUGGAGAGGUUGCUCCCCCCAGGAAGGGCCGAGAAAACGAGGUUACCAAGAAGGAGAUUACAGCCUCGCCUCACAGUGAUGGUUACCAAUGGAGAAAAUACGGACAAAAGAACAUUCACAAAAGAAAAUUUGCAAGGUCCUACUACAAAUGCAUGUUUAGCCAUGACCGCGGCUGCAGGGCGAAGAAGACGGUGCAACAGCACGAUAGUAGCAGCGGCCAUCGUCCUAUGUUCCAGAUCACCUACAUGCACGAGCACAAGUGCCAGCAACAAACAGUGCCUCCCGGAGAAGCUACAAGGAGCGGCCACUUCGAUCCUCAACCUCAACACGCCGAAUUGGAUGACGACACCAUGGCCUCGUGCCUGGCCAUGGUGAUCGGAGGAGCUGCGCCUGCAGCUCCGUCGUCCUCGUCCUUGUCGCCGCCGCCCGUCGGAGCGAGCCCGAGUGACCCUGACGGCGGGCGUACGCCGAGCCCGCUGGACGUGAGCACGGGCCUGGACACGGGGAUCUCGUGCGGCUUGCCAUGUGCUCCCGUGAAGGCUCCAUCGUCGUCGUCGUCGUCGUCCUUGCUGCUCGUGGAAGCGAUCAGCUCGAGUGAUCGCGCGGUGUACUUGCCGGCCGGCGGCGGACUCUCCCCGAGCACGGACGCUAUAGCGAUGGAUGAUACUUACUUCCCGUGCAGCCCGCUGUUUUCUCCCGUCGCUGCUCGGUCCAUCAGUCGUUCGGACGAUGAGCCCAUGGCUGUUGCUGGGUUUACAGACACAACGUCAGCGUGGCCACACUACUCGUGA
rnacentral:rRNA from 1 species